UAGGAAGCACGUCUCAUUGCUUCACCACUAUGUCCCCAGGGCAAUGAUUUUUUUUAUAAAAAAUAAUGCGAGGUAUCGUACAUGAGUUUGUUUAGGCUUUAUUGUUCUGAAGCCAAUGGAGGUAAGAAGCUGGUUUUUAUUUGUUUUUCUUUCGUGGAGGGAAGCAGUGUUUGUUCUUGCCACGCAGAUGCAUUCUCCUCAACUGUUUCAGUCUGGGUGACCUCUCAUUUAGCCUGCCUCCUCUGUUUCUUCAAACCAAACAGUGUCCAUAAAGCAUCCUUUGGCUAGCUGAUAACCCCUGCUUUCCCAUCGCUCUAAAUACGCUCCUCCAGUCUUGCAUGUCGGGCUGUCUCGCGUUUUCAGAAUUGUGUUUGGUGGCUUUCUCUCCGCUUCCUCAUGUUUCUCCUGUUCAGCCUCCUGCUUUAUGUCCCUGCUCUGGGCUGCCCGUACCUACAAGGUUGCUUCUGGAAUCUUAAAUGUCUCCAUGCUUAAUAAAAACUUGGUGCUUUGGGUGAUUUCCAGGAAAAGAAAAGGAAAAUAUGGACCUGCCCUGAGAUGACUUUAUGGGGACUGGGGUGCAUCUGUCUACGGGGAGCAGCCCAAUUGCUUGUUGGCAAUUGGGAAUACAAGCUCACUGGCACCGGAUCUUUCAGGGUGAGGUUGGACCUUUAAAAAACCACGUUGAUUGUGUUGACUGGCUGUUGUUUCUUGGCAAACUAUCUUUCCUUAUAACUAUUUUUUUCUUUUGGAGCAUUCCUUUUUUUUUUUUUUUUUUUUCAUUUCAUCUUUUAACAUAUUAAAUAAAAUGUGCACAUCUA